rnacentral:rRNA from 1 species
GCCUGCCCGGUGCCGGAAGGUUAAUUGAUGGGGUGCAAGCUCUUGAUCGAAGCCCCCGGUAAACGGCGGCCGUAACGAUAACGGUCCUAAGGUAGCGAAAUUCCUUGUCGGGUAAGUUCCGACCUGCACGAAUGGCGUAACGACAGCGGCGCUGUCUCCACCCAAGGCUCAGUGAAAUUGAAAUCGCUGUGAAGAUGCAGCGUUCCCGCGGCAAGACGGAAAGACCCCGUGAACCUUUACUAUAGCUUCACACUGAACGUUGAGUUCGUCUGUGUAGGAUAGGUGGGAGCCUACGAAGCGUUGGCGCUAGCUGAUGUGGAGGCAACCUUGAAAUACCACCCUGAUGUGCUUGACGUUCUAACCUGGGUCCGUAAUCCGGAUCGGGGACAGUGUGUGGUGGGUAGUUUGACUGGGAG